CCUACGGGAGGCAGCAGUGAGGAAUAUUGGUCAAUGGACGAGAGUCUGAACCAGCCAAGUAGCGUGAAGGAUGACUGCCCUAUGGGUUGUAAACUUCUUUUAUAUGGGAAUAAAAUGUUCCACGUGUGGGAUUUUGUAUGUACCAUAUGAAUAAGGAUCGGCUAACUCCGUGCCAGCAGCCGCGGUAAUACGGAGGAUCCGAGCGUUAUCCGGAUUGAUUGGGUUUAAAGGGAGCGUAGGUGGAUUGUUAAGUCAGUUGUGAAAGUUUGCGGCUCAACCGUAAAAUUGCAGUUGACACUGGCAGUCUUGAGUACAGUAGAGGUGGGCGGAAUUCGUGGGGUAGCGGUGAAAUGCUUAGAUAUCACGAAGAACUCCGAUUGCGAAGGCAGCUCACUGGACUGCAACUGACACUGAGGCUCGAAAGUGUGGGUAUCAAACAGGAUUAGAUACCCGAGUAGUC
rnacentral:rRNA from 1 species